UGGAUAUCAUAAGGUGAGUCGCUCUGGAUAAGAGCGUCUGCUUAAUGACGUAAA
rfam:Salmo salar isolate Sally breed double haploid chromosome ssa18, whole genome shotgun sequence.